CCUUCUGGAUAGGGGCCCACUGGCCCAGAGAGCAUAUAAGGGGAGGAGUAGGGCACCCAGGCACCAGCCUCCCAGAACCGACUCCCAGGCAGAGCCCUGAACUCCCAGCCAGAGAUCAUGUUGCUCCUGUUGGUCCUUUCCUUCCUGGGGGGCGCUGCCAGCAUUCUUAGUGACUACUAUGGAAGGAUGUGCGCCAACCACUUCUGUAUCGAGUCCCGGGGGAGGGAGAUGACCUCUCAGGGAUUCGGGUGUAUGAACGUAACGGCCGGAUGC